AGUUUUCUUCGGGGCAGGGUGAAAUUCCCUACCGGCGGUUACAGUCCGCGACUCCUUUCUUUUUGAGAGGACUGAUUUGGUGAAAUUCCAAAACCGACAGUUAAAGUCUGGAUGGGAGAAGAAAAUG
rnacentral:ncRNA from 1 species